rnacentral:rRNA from 1 species
AGUCCCGCAACGAGCGCAACCCUUUUCCUUAUUUGCCAGCGAGUAAUGUCGGGAACUUUAAGGAUACUGCCAGUGACAAACUGGAGGAAGGCGGGGACGACGUCAAGUCAUCAUGGCCCUUACGACCAGGGCUACACACGUGCUACAAUGGCAGGUACAAAGAGCAGCCACUUAGUGAUAAGGAGCGAAUCUCAAAAAGCCUGUCUCAGUUCGGAUUGAAGUCUGCAACUCGACUUCAUGAAGGUGGAAUCGCUAGUAAU